rnacentral:rRNA from 1 species
GCAUUUAUUAGAUAAAAAGCCAGUKCAUGCUUUUACAGUAUGAAAAUUGGUGAUUUAUAAUAACUUAGCAAAUCGCAAAGUGAAAACAGGCGAUAAAUCAUUCAAGUUUCUGACCUAUCAGCUUUCGACGGUAUGGUAUUGGCUUACCGUGGCAGUGACGGUUAACGGGGGAUUAGGGUUCGAUUCCGGAGAGGGAGCCUGAGAAACGGCUACCACAUCUAAGGAAGGCAGCAGGCGCGCAAAUUACCCAAUUCUAACAGUUUGAGAGAGGUAGUAACAAGAAAUAACAAUACAAGGCAGUUAAAAUGCUUUGUAAUUGGAAUGAUAGAAAUUUAAACCCUUUUUAAAGUAUCAAUUGGAGGGCAAGUCUGGUGCCAGCAGCCGCGGUAAUUCCAGCUCCAAUAGCGUAUAUUAAAAUUGUUGCAGUUAAAAAGCUCGUAGUUGAAGUUCUGCUGAAAGUAACCGGUCUGCUUUUAAUAAAAGUGGUAUCUUGGUAUGUAUUUAGCAAUGAUGUC